AUUGAACGCUGGCGGCAUGCUUUACACAUGCAAGUCGAACGGUAACAGGCCGCAAGGUGCUGACGAGUGGCGAACGGGUGAGUAAUGCAUCGGAACGUGCCCAGUCGUGGGGGAUAACGCAGCGAAAGCUGCGCUAAUACCGCAUACGAUCAGUGGAUGAACGCGGGGGACCGAAAGGCCUCGCGCGAUUGGAGCGGCCGAUGUCAGAUGAGGUAGUUGGUGGGGUAAACGCCCACCAAGACCACGAUCUGGAGCUGUUCUGAGAGGACGACCAGCCACACUGGGACUGAGACACGGCCCAGACUCCUACGGGAGGCAGCAGUGGGGAAUUUUGGACAAUGGGCGCAAGCCUGCUCCAGCAAUGCCGCGUGCAGGAAGAAGGCCUUCGGGUUGUAAACUGCUUUUGUACGGAACGAAACGGCUCUGGUUAAUACCUGGGGCUAAUGACGGUACCGUAAGAAUAAGCACCGGCUAACUACGUGCCAGCCGCCGCGGUAACAC
rnacentral:rRNA from 1 species